UUCCACGUUACCAUGGGAGUUGCGUUUUUGAGUGGCAGUCUCCCUUCCUAGGCGUGGUACAUCAAGUUCUUUCUCUUAAUCAAAAGUCUCUUGUGCUGAUGUCACAAGAGGUUGGAUUAGAAAAAGAA
rnacentral:snoRNA from 1 species